rnacentral:rRNA from 1 species
UACAGGGGUGCAAACGUUGCUCGGAAUCAUUGGGCGUAAAGCGCACGUAGGCGGUUCGUUAUGUCGGAUGUGAAAGCCCUUGGCUUAACCGAGGAAGUGCAUCCGAAACUGGCGAGCUAGAGUACGAAAGAGGAUCGCGGAAUUCCCGGUGUAGAGGUGAAAUUCGUAGAUAUCGGGGAGGAACGACCGGUGGCGAAGGCGGCGAUCUGGGUCGAUACUGACGCUGAGGUGCGAAAGCG